rnacentral:rRNA from 1 species
ACAGAGGGUGCAAGCGUUAAUCGGAAUUACUGGGCGUAAGGCGCGCGUAGGCGGUUAGUUAAGUCAGAUGUGAAAGCCCUGGGCUCAACCUAGGAACGGCAUCUGAAACUGGUUAACUAGAGUUUAGAAGAGGGGAGUGGAAUUUCAGGUGUAGCGGUGAAAUGCAUAGAGAUCUGAAGGAACACCAGUGGCGAAGGCGACUCCCUGGUCUAAAACUGACGCUGAGGUGCGAAAGCGUGGGUAGCAAACGGG